rnacentral:lncRNA from 1 species
UGGCAGGACCAAGGGGCGUCAACCCCUUGGAUAAUGUAAAAGGGGCCCACCCCCCUCUUGUGGCUUGGUGUGGAAGGAGAGAGAGAGAGGGGCCAUGCCUCCUCUCUUGAGCAAAGAAACCUACCUACCUGCCCUAUAUUGUAUAGGGCGCCCACUCGAUUGCCUUAUCUGAUUGGGGCACCCCAUAUGCUUACCAUAAAGGGCUGAUGUCCUACCCAUUAAGUCUAAUUUUAAUGAAAAAAAAUAGAGAUUAAAAAUGUAGAAAUUCUUAUGAGACAAAGAUGUGCCUUUUUAAGUUAAUUG